rnacentral:rRNA from 1 species
AGAGUUUGAUCCUGGCUCAGGAUGAACGCUGACAGAAUGCUUAACACAUGCAAGUCUACUUGAACUUCGGUUUGGGUGGCGGACGGGUGAGUAACGCGUAAAGAACUUGCCUCACAGUUAGGGACAACAUUUGGAAACGAAUGCUAAUACCUGAUAUUAUGAUUUUAGGGCAUCCUAAGAUUAUGAAAGCUAUAUGUGCUGUGAGAGAGCUUUGCGUCCCAUUAGCUAGUUGGAGAGGUAACGGCUCACCAAGGCGAUGAUGGGUAGCCGGCCUGAGAGGGUGAACGGCCACAAGGGGACUGAGACACGGCCCUUACUCCUACGGGAGGCAGCAGUGGGGAAUAUUGGACAAUGGACCAAAAGUCUGAUCCAGCAAUUCUGUGUGCACGAUGACGUUUUUCGGAAUGUAAAGUGCUUUCAGUUGGGAAGAAAAAAAUGACGGUACCAACAGAAGAAGUGACGGCUAAAUACGUGCCAGCAGCCGCGGUAAUACGUAUGUCACAAGCGUUAUCCGGAUUUAUUGGGCGUAAAGCGCGUCUAGGUGGUUAUGUAAGUCUGAUGUGAAAAUGCAGGGCUCAACUCUGUAUUGCGUUGGAAACUGCAUGACUAGAGUACUGGAGAGGUAAGCGGAACUACAAGUGUAGAGGUGAAAUUCGUAGAUAUUUGUAGGAAUGCCGAUGGGGAAGCCAGCUUACUGGACAGAUACUGACGCUAAAGCGCGAAAGCGUGGGUAGCAAACAGGAUUAGAUACCCUGGUAGUCCACGCCGUAAACG